rnacentral:lncRNA from 12 species
GCCGUUCCGUCUGAUGGGGCUGCCGGGAGGAGGGCCGGGCCCCAGGGGAGCCCCUCGGACGCCCGACCUAAUGUGGAAGCCUCCCAGGGAGGGCUUAGCAGGGAGGUCCAGGGAAGGAGUGGGUGUGGAAAACCCGGGAAGGUGGGAGGGGCGCACCUGAGGGUGGCUGAGCAGGGAGGCAGGUGGAGGUCUGACGGGGUGGGGCCAGGGCCUGCGUGGUGGCUGCUGUCAGGUGGGUGCAGGGGGGCUGGGUGUGUGUGUGAGAGGGCAGGCCCUGCCUGGGCCCCGGCCUGGGAGGGGGCACGCCAACUCAGCAGGGAUACCCCCGUGCCCUCCCACGUCUGGGGGCGAGCGAGCAGGUCAGGAGAGGGCUCUGGGGGUGUUGGCCCCUUGGUGGCAGGAGGUGACGGGAACCGGCCCCCCUCCACCGUGAAGCUGUCUUGCUCUGGUUGUCCCUGGAGUGCCUGCUGGCGGCUUCCCUGGGCCCUGCCGCCCUGGGCCCCAGCACAUGCACGUAUCCAUGCCCCGGCCCGCGGCUGCCCCCGAGCAGGCGAGAGUACCUGGGGAGGCCCCCCAAGAAGGGAUGCCGAGGCACACGGGGCGGGGGGCUCCAGACGUGCAGACCCCACAGUCCAGGGAAAUCCCAGGAGAAAUGGUGAGAGCAGCCGCAGAGCCACUGAGAACCGUGAACUCACGUCACUCAGUUUAAAACAGGAAAUGUCGAGCUGUCCCCCACCCGAGAGGGCAUCGGCGCCAACCCAGGGGGACUCUUCCACGACAGACGCUUCCCUUCUGGCCCCGUGUACCAGUCACUGGGCUUGGGGGCCCUGGGGACAGAGGGGCUGCUUCUUGUCCCCCCCAGCCCCGCUCCAGCCGAGGCUCCUGCAGACACAGGAUCAGACUGGAGGAGGGCGCAAGGCUCUCAGGGGACACCCAAGGGCCGGGACUUGCCCGGGAGCUCACUGUUCGCACGACAAACCUCCACUUCCUGAAGCACCUACUGUACGACGGCCCCACAGUGCGGGAUACAUGCGAAAACCAGAGGCCGGGGAGGCCGACAGGGGACGUCACCUGUAGGAGGCAGCGCGGCCGCCAGGCAGCUUGAGGGCACCGGGGCUGGCCGGCCCUCACCCCUCACCCCGUGCCUGGCGCCCACGGCAGAGGCCUGAGCAGGGCACCCACACGCACCACAGCUGGGACAAGGUGCAGGGGUGGCGGGGGAGGGCAGGAGCCCCAGGGUGGCGCGGCGCGGCCCGCCUCUGGGCAGGGAGACAGUCGGCUCGCCAGGCGUGCGCCCCUGGAGGUGAGCGCCCCUGGAGGUGAGCGCCCCUGGACGUGAGCUUGCCGGCGGCUGGCGGAGGGCCCUGGCCCCCAGGGAGGGCAACGCGACGGGAGGAGGACUGCGGUGAGGGCGGGGAGGCUGGACCACGGCCCGGCGGGCACACGGCCCCCUGGCCCCUCCAAGGUGCUGGUGCGCAGACGUGAGUGAGGACGCAGCUACACGGGAGCACGCACAGAUUGCACAUAUGUGUGCACGCAUAGAUUCACAGGUGUGCACACACGCACGCACACGUGUACAGAUACAACAUACGUGCACAGAUACGGAUUCUUAGACUCGUGCAACAGAUGGGCAAGCACACGUGUGUACACACACGUAACUGUGCACACAAAGGUGUGCAAGGUGUGCACAUGCAGCGUGCACACGUGUGACACCCCCGGCAGCCCCUCUGUGCAGCUCUGCUUCCGCUGCCAGCGCCGCUGCUUCCGUCUGUGGGUUCUCACCGCGAGGCCGCAGAGCCGGGGACGAGGGCGCACUCCUUGGAGGCCCGGGUUUGAGUGUGAGCCUCCUCCCUGGGCCUUACUUUCCGUGUCUGUGGCCUGGGGACGCUGGCAUUUCGGGCACAGGUUGCGGGAGGGGUUGAGUGUGCUCGCACGGGCAAGGGCUGGUGCUGGGCCAUGCAGCGGUGCCACCCGGUGUUUGUGCUCUGGGACCCAGGAGUGGGGCGCUGGGCUCCUGAAGCAGGAGGGCUCUGUUUGGGGGUGGGGGUUCCUGGGCCGGCAGGCGUCACUUCCCGGA